UACAGAGGUCUCAAGCGUUGUUCGGAUUCAUUGGGCGUAGAGGGUGCGUAGGCGGCGCGGUAAGUCGGGUGUGAAAUCUCGGAGCUUAACUCCGAAACUGCAUUCGAUACUGCCGUGCUUGAGGACUGGAGAGGAGACUGGAAUUUACGGUGUAGCGGUGAAAUGCGUAGAUAUCGUAAGGAAGACCAGUGGCGAAGGCGGGUCUCUGGACAGAUCCUGACGCUGAGGCACGAAGGUCAGGGGAGCAAACGGG
rnacentral:rRNA from 1 species